GAGGGGCCCGCGCCCGAUUAGCUAGUUGGUAGGGUAAUGGCCUACCAAGGCUUUGAUCGGUAGCUGGUCUGAGAGGAUGAUCAGCCACACUGGAACUGAGACACGGUCCAGACUCCUACGGGAGGCAGCAGUGGGGAAUCUUGCACAAUGGGCGAAAGCCUGAUGCAGCGACGCCGCGUGGGGGAUGAAGCAUUUCGGUGUGUAAACCCCUUUCGAUCCGGACGAAUGCCCGCAAGGGAGUGACGGUACGGAUAUAAGAAGCCCCGGCUAACUACGUGCCAGCAGCCGCGGUAAGACGUAGGGGGCCAGCGUUGUUCGGAAUUACUGGGUGUAAAGGGUUCGUAGGCGGUGCGGCAAGUUGGGAGUGAAAUCUCUGGGCUUAACCCAGAGGCUGCUUCCAAAACUGCUGUGCUUGAGUGUGGGAGAGGCGCGUGGAAUUGCAGGUGUAGCGGUGAAAUGCGUAGAUAUCUGCAGG
rnacentral:rRNA from 1 species